rnacentral:tRNA from 1 species
GCAUGAUCCCGCCUGGUGGUGUGUCGAGGCUUCAAACCUCGUGAGCCUAGCGGCCCAGUUGUUCGAUUCAACC